rnacentral:rRNA from 1 species
CCUACGGGUGGCAGCAGUGGGGAAUAUUGGACAAUGGGCGAAAGCCUGAUCCAGCCAUGCCGCGUGUGUGAAGAAGGCCUUCGGGUUGUAAAGCACUUUCAGUGGGGAAGAAAGCCUUGGGGCUAAUACCCUCGAGGAAGGACAUCACCCACAGAAGAAGCACCGGCUAACUCCGUGCCAGCAGCCGCGGUAAUACGGAGGGUGCGAGCGUUAAUCGGAAUUACUGGGCGUAAAGCGCGCGUAGGCGGUCUGAUAAGCCGGUUGUGAAAGCCCCGGGCUCAACCUGGGAACGGCAUCCGGAACUGUCAGGCUAGAGUGCAGGAGAGGAAGGUAGAAUUCCCGGUGUAGCGGUGAAAUGCGUAGAGAUCGGGAGGAAUACCAGUGGCGAAGGCAGUCUUCUGGACUGACACUGACGCUGAGGUGCGAAAGCGUGGGUAGCAAACAGGAUUAGAUACCCUUGUAGUC